CAGGAUCAACCAGGUAGCAUUCCUCACUGACACCGGCAUUGUCAGACGGUGCUAAAACCCGAAGGUUCUAGCACGUCAAUGCAGCACCGGACGUCAUUUGUUUGUGCGAAUUACGCUAGUUUUGGGCAAAAAGAAGUCAUCGACCCCGUCCCUCUAGGUAUUCCGCAUCCGAGAGCUCAAGCAAAAAUUCAUGGACCGCAACAACACCAUGACGUGCACGGAACACAAAUAAUGCUUCGAGGUUCACCCGAAGCUGCACCCUUGGAAAGGGCAACACAAGGUGAAUGAUGGGCAAAUUGACAAUCGAAUUCCAUUGCAGUAGGUAUGCAACACAGGAAACCGAAACGAUCGGCCAAGGAUAAUAUUGCUCUUGGGCCCAACAAGUGAAGAGGAUUGUAUGGGAGGACGUCACUGCCCAAGCAGAGAUCCA
rnacentral:misc_RNA from 1 species